rnacentral:misc_RNA from 4 species
GUACCUUCAAGCUCUGCUUGGUGUUGGGUGUUUGUCUCGCCUUUGCGUGUAGACUCGCCUCAAAACAAUUGGCAGCCGGCGUAUUGAUUUCGGAGCGCAGUACAUCUCGCGCUUUGCACUCAUAACGACGACGUCCAAAAGUACAUUUUUACAC